rnacentral:rRNA from 1 species
GGCUGCCGCUCUAGCUUCCUAACACAUGCAGUCGAACGAUGAACUGGAGCUUGCUCCAGGGAUUAGUGGCGAACGGGUGAGUAACACGUGAGUAACCUGCCCUUGACUCUGGGAUAAGCGCUAGAAAUGGCGUCUAAUACCGGAUACGAGCUUCAGCCGCAUGGCUAGGAGUUGGAAAGAAUUUUGGUCAAGGAUGGACUCGCGGCCUAUCAGCUAGUUGGUGAGGUAAUGGCUCACCAAGGCGACGACGGGUAGCCGGCCUGAGAGGGUGACCGGCCACACUGGGACUGAGACACGGCCCAGACUCCUACGGGAGGCAGCAGUGGGGAAUAUUGCACAAUGGGCGAAAGCCUGAUGCAGCAACGCCGCGUGAGGGAUGACGGCCUUCGGGUUGUAAACCUCUUUUAGUAGGGAAGAAGCGAAAGUGACGGUACCUGCAGAAAAAGCACCGGCUAACUACGUGCCAGCAGCCGCGGUAAUACGUAGGGUGCAAGCGUUGUCCGGAAUUAUUGGGCGUAAAGAGCUCGUAGGCGGUUUGUCGCGUCUGCUGUGAAAUCUGGGGGCUCAACCCCCAGCCUGCAGUGGGUACGGGCAGACUAGAGUGCGGUAGGGGAGAUUGGAAUUCCUGGUGUAGCGGUGGAAUGCGCAGAUAUCAGGAGGAACACCGAUGGCGAAGGCAGAUCUCUGGGCCGUAACUGACGCUGAGGAGCGAAAGCAUGGGGAGCGAACAGGAUUAGAUACCCUGGUAGUCCAUGCCGUAAACGUUGGGAACUAGAUGUGGGGGCCAUUCCACGGUCUCCGUGUCGCAGCUAACGCAUUAAGUUCCCCGCCUGGGGAGUACGGCCGCAAGCUAAAACUCAAAGGAAUUGACGGGGGCCCGCACAAGCGGCGAGCAUGCGGAUUAAUUUCGAUGCACGCGAAGAACCCUUACCAAGGCUUGACAAUAAUACCGGAAACGUCCAGAGA